AAAAGCGAACACUGGGGAUCUAUUUCUGAGCCCAGACGAUAUUGCAGGCGUUCCUGACUCUGGAGUAGUAUUGUUGGUAUUCUACAUCCUGAUGUUCCUUUUGAGAAUGCGCUUUUCUUCUGCCCUAAAAAUAUUCCCCACACUUCUGAAGCGCUGCUCAUCCAUCAGUGAGUGAGAAGCUGCAUGUCCUGCCUUCGCCUUCCAACCAAAUCCCUCGCUUUACUUGAAGGAAGACCCCAGAUGUUAAAAGCAUGGAACUGAAACCUGACGAGGGCUUCUCAAGCAGAAGGGACUAAAUCAUGGAAAGUUAGAAGGCACCUUAGAGAUUAUUUAAUAGAUCUCCUCCUUUAUACAGGAUGGGACUGAGAUCCAGCCACUUGGUUGCAGGCUCAGUCAGAACUAGAACCCUCUCCCUGUGCACUUCACUCAUCUCCAUUACAGUCUUCCUGGGCAUGCGGUUUCUCUCACUCUGGAGAGAGGCAAGGCUGACACAUCUGAGAAGGGUAGAGGCAGUCCCCAGCCUAGAACUUGGGUGCUGUUGACUGGAAUGAUUUGUAGUUCUGGGGUUUCCGGGAGAGGGUAGCUGCAUUGCUUGCAACCAUUUGGAACUGGACCUGCCUGAUCUGCUUUGAGUGGCUGUUCUGUCCCAAGACCACAGAAGGCAGAUCUCUGUCUCUUCCAGAAUAGCUUGUGCACAUGUUCUUAAUAAAUAUCUCCUUAUGUUUUCCCUUCUGGUUCCUUUUCCUCUCUUCUUUCUUGUGCCUUUUCUUGAAGUGGACACUUUCAGGUGAAAAUGAAUCAAUAAAGUGCAUUCCUAUAAUUCCAUCUUUGAAGGGCACUAAUUUUAAUGUAACACACCAUGUUUUAAUUCAUUUGAGAAAUGUUUAUGUGCUCACUGCCUGCUAGCCCUGCACUAGGUACUGGGGGGAAUGGAUGGAGGAUCAUAACUGCACUGACCUCAUGGGGCUCUUGUGAGGAUUAGUGAAGAUAAGGUAUGUAAAGGACUUGGCAUAGCACCAGGCAUAUAAAGUGCUUAUAAAAGGUUAGCUGCUGAUGGUAACAGUAAUUGUAGUACUGGACACCAGCCUAUCCUCAGGGGACUCCUAAUAGCUAAAUUUGUGUGGGUCCUCUCGGUGGUUAUACUGUAAAUCUAAGUUUCAAAGCAAUUCAAUGGUCUUGGCUCAAGCCGUCGUCAAUUGUGCAUCAAUGCUGUGGAGAUGUCACUGGCGGGAGGAGGGCCUGUGAUCUAGAAGUAGGGAUUUUCUUCUUUUUUUUUUUUAAUUAAACCGAUUUUGAAAAAAGAAAAACACCACAGAAUACUUCUAGUAUUGUAAUCACUGUGUGGUACAUAAAAGAGCAUUCGAAAGAAGAUACUGGCAAAACAACAACAACAACAAAAAAAACCCCCUAAGAAUCCUUAAGUGAUUCUUCUCUGAGGGAAAACACAAAGUAUGAGAACUGGAGAAUAGUUACAGCAAUUCUGAAGUUUAGAUCCUGAGAAUGUAUGUUCUCCAAAAAGACAUCAGUUAUUCUUUGCCCACCCCGAAACUUGGGCUACGUGUUUCUGUUCACUUCAGCCAAGGUUUGUUGCACAACCCUUCUGUGCAAGCUUUGCUGGGUCUUCUUCAGGCUGUUUUUCCCAGGAUAAAAUUAUGACCUGCUGCCCAUAACAGCCCCCAAGAUUUUAGACAUAUCUCUGAGGACUGACAAAUAUCUUCUCUAUUCCAUGUAGGGGGUGGGGGGUAUGGGUAGUUUUGCGCCCCACUUAGCAAAUAAUGGUACACACCUUUUGAAGUUGACAGAACUUGCUGUGUUGGACUUCCUGGAAGGAGGGAGCCCUGGUUACAGCGGGAGUCUGCUAGAAGGCUGCCAGGUUGGUUUUAGCCAGAUAAAAGAGCAAAGAUCAGAGUUACAGAACAGGUUGUCCCACAUUCUUGCUUUCCUGGUUACUACAGUGCGGAAACUGUCAACCGGAAAGGAAGGGACACCUUUUCUGCCCCCAGAUUGAAACAGUACCUCCUAAAGCUUGUUUCCAGGUUUAUCUGCUUUCCCUUGUGGAAGGAUUGAUUGUAGGCGAGUGUUUGUUCUCUCAGAGGACUUGGCGUGUAACAGGCUCUCAGGACACUCCCAAUUUCUGCCCUCCUACCAUUAGAAUCUCUGUGUUGCUCCCCUGGAGAAACCAAUGUUAUCUUUCCCCAUCCAAAGGGGGACCAAUUGCAAACACUCUGCUUCUUCACAAAUUUCAGGUCUCAGUUUUAGACCGAGGAGGGCUUCCUUUACUUCUGUACUUAGAGCAGAGUUUCCGGAAACUGUGGUCACCUGUCACUAGGAAACCUGUUAGAAAUGCAAAUGCAGGUUCUCAACCCCACCAAUACAGAAACUCUAAGGUGGCACCCAGUGGUCUGUGUUUUAAGAAGCUUUCCAUUUGGCUAUUUUUCUUUGGUGUGUUCUGUUCUCUUUCUGUGUUCUCACUACCCUCUUUACCCUCCCUCCUCCCCUCCUCCAGCUCCAGCAGAAGAAUUCUGUAAGUGAAGGCUUCCUGCUUCAGCAGAGUCUUGCUUUGAGAGGUGGCAGGGGGAGACCCCCUCAUUGUUCACUUUCCCUUGCCCUGUGGGCCAGGGUGGGGGUGGUGUAGGGACUGGGAAUCACCUACAAUCACCUACACACUCAUUGAGUUGUUCAAACCCCAAGGGUCGAGUAAGGGAAGUUGUUGCAUCCUUCUUCCCAUUUAAGAUUCCUUUGCUUUUAUUUUGUUUCCUCAUUACUCUUAAAGCUCAUUAUGCUCACUAUAGAAAACAAAUCAAAUUAGGCAAACAUAAGGAUCAUAAAAGAAUAACUUUUAUAACAUAGUCCUAAACCAUCUGGAAACAACUACUACUCAACCACUUAAUACAAGUAUGUAUCCUUUUCUAUAUGUUUACCAACCAUUUUAAAAUAAAUGGGUCCAUAUUUUAUAUACUGCUUUAUAACUUGCUUUCACUUAAUCUUCUGCACAUCUUCCCAUGUAGAUGCAUUUUCAGGAUAUUUUUAAUGCCUGCAAAGUGUUUUAUUACAAGACUUGAACUUGACAAUAGUUAAUGUUGAUUCAAUAUGAUUGUUUAAGUUUGGUGGGAAGGGAUGCAGAAUGACCCUGGGUUAAGAAAUAGAUCAUUCCAGAAUUAGACUAUAUAGACAGACUGAUUCUUGUCUUGGGGUUUACGUUAUCAGCUCCCUACUUCCCACCUUUACUUUCUACAGCAUGUGUGAUUUAUUCCUCAGGAAGUUAAUAUGCACUGUGGCUAGAGAUGCAGGUUUGACCCCUUCAUCCUUUACCUCUUUAGGUGGUUAUUAGGAAUUUUCUCACUCCUGAGGCUUCUAAUUGUGCAGUUGCUUUCACUGAA